GAGGGGCCCGCACAAGCGGUGGAGUAUGUGGUUUAAUUCGAUGCAACGCGAAGAACCUUACCUGGUCUUGACAUCCCAGAAAUCCCUUGGAAACUUGGGAGUGCUUCCAUUAGGAAGAAUCUGGAGACAGGUGCUGCAUGGCUGUCGUCAGCUCGUGUCGUGAGAUGUUGGGUUAAGUCCCGCAACGAGCGCAACCCUUGCCCUUAGUUGCCAGCAGUUCGGCUGGGCACUCUAAAGGGACUGCCGGUGUUAAACCGGAGGAAGGUGGGGAUGACGUCAAGUCCUCAUGGCCUUUAUGACCAGGGCUACACACGUACUACAAUAGCCGAUACAAAGGGCAGCGACAUCGCGAGGUGAAGCCAAUCCCAUAAAAUCGGUCUCAGUCCGGAUUGGAGUCUGCAACUCGACUCCAUGAAGUUGGAAUCGCUAGUAAUCGUGGAUCAGCAUGCCACGGUGAAUACGUUCCCGGGCCUU
rnacentral:rRNA from 1 species